GGCCUCCCUCCCCGGAAGUGGGCUGACUCAGGUGCGCUCCUGCCCCGCAGGGUCUGAACCAAGUGACCACUUAGCCUGGAGGGCGCCCGCACCCCAGGCGACGUGUGCAACCACCUGCUGCUCUGGCCAAAGUUGAUAGGACCGUGCUCCAGGAAGACAGAGGCCCCCUGAGGGUGUUCCACCUGCCGAGAGGGGCCGGCCCUGCUGCGCACCUGUUCGCUGCCGGUCCCCACCCCUGUCUCCGGCGCCGAUGGAUCCGCCUAGGUCAGGCUUCCGGAAGUUCUGAUGCUUAAAGGCGCUGUGCCAAGACUGGAGGCCGGGAGACUUGUUUCAGUUCAAAGGUUCCCAGAUCGUCACCUGCACCCUGGGAGCGGCCAGCGCCUCUCGGCCUUCUCGGCGUUACACUGCUGCUCUCUGCUGGCGUCUAGGGGACGCGCAUUCUAGGAGAUUGUGAACUGGCCGGUGGGUUGGGAGUACUAUCAUUUUCUUCUCUGUCUUGUAAAACUCGGUCACUUCCUUCUGCUCAGAAAUAUCCCGUAGCCCCUCCUUACUCCCAAGAAAAUUUCAAAAUACUCAUACCGGCCUGAUUGUCCCUCCCCAACUCACUUUGCAUUCUUCGCUUAGUUGGCUUCAGCCACACUGACCUGGCGUGUCCUGAAUCGGACACUUGGCUGGUGUUGCUACCAGAAUCCCCUUCCUGCUGCGGACACCUCGUCCCAUUUUCCUCAGGGCCGCAUUCAAAGGCAAACCCUUCUCAUAAAAUUUCACCCUGCUCAUGAGCCAUCAUAAUUAAAAAACAGAGGAAAUCAUCAUA